GGGUAUAUGUUUUUAACUUGAAGAAACAAUUUUAAGUAGGUUGAGUUGAUGUCCAGGCGUAAAGUAAAGUAAAAUAUCUUAUUUUACAACUUUGACUUUCAGCUUAAAGUCAAGUGCCCCGCUACAUUAACUGUGCGAUGUCACUUUUGCUUCAACACUACUCUUGUUUUUUUUAAUGGCUACUAAUUCCAAGGAUGAUGACUAUUUUUUUCGGUUUUCAACAAUUUACUAAUCAUUUUGAGGUUGCAUAGGAAAACUAUUGCGAUUGUAUUCGCACAAAAGAUCAAAACACGUU
rnacentral:lncRNA from 1 species